rnacentral:rRNA from 1 species
GAGAUGGAUUGGUGCCUUCGGGAACUGUGAGACAGGUGCUGCAUGGCUGUCGUCAGCUCGUGUUGUGAAAUGUUGGGUUAAGUCCCGCAACGAGCGCAACCCUUAUCCUUUGUUGCCAGCGGUCCGGCCGGGAACUCAAAGGAGACUGCCAGUGAUAAACUGGAGGAAGGUGGGGAUGACGUCAAGUCAUCAUGGCCCUUACGACCAGGGCUACACACGUGCUACAAUGGCGCAUACAAAGAGAAGCGACCUCGCGAGAGCAAGCGGACCUCAUAAAGUGCGUCGUAGUCCGGAUUGGAGUCUGCAACUCGACUCCAUGAAGUCGGAAUCGCUAGUAAUCGUGGAUCAGAAUGCCACGGUGAAUACGUUCCCGGGCCUUGUACACACCGCCCGUCACACCAUGGGAGUGGGUUGCAAAAGAAGUAGGCAGCUUAACCUUCGGGAGGGCGCUUACCACUUUGUGAUUCAUGACUGGGGUGAAGUCGUAACAAGGUAACCGUAGGGGAACCU